UACGUGGGGUGCGAGCGUUGCCCGGAUUUAUUGGGCGUAAAGGGCGCGUAGGCGGUCACGCACGUCCGUUGUGAAAUCGCUCGGCUCAACUGGGCGGGGUCAGCGGAUACGGCGUGGCUGGAGCAAGCUAGGGGGCAAUGGAAUUCCCGGUGUAGUGGUGGAAUGCGUAGAUAUCGGGAGGAACACCAGUGGCGAAGGCGGUUGCCUGGAGCUUUGCUGACGCUGAUGCGCGAAAGCGUGGGGAGCGAUCCGG
rnacentral:rRNA from 1 species